AUUAAUAAGCGGAGGAAAAGAAACCAACCGGGAUUCCCCGAGUAAGGGCGACUGAAAUGGGAAGAGCCCAGCGCAUAACCUGGCAGUCGUUUUGUGGCUGUCCAGGGGUGUUGCGUUGCGGUGCAUCCUUGCCGCCCUGGCCGCUGACCGCCUAAGUCAUUGCUUGAAAGCAGCCCCAAGGAGGGUGAUAGGCCCGUGUGGCGGCGCCUGUAAAAAGGGUGAAGGCGGCCUGGGCGGGCGGGUGUGGACCGUAGAGUCGGGUUGCUUAGUAGUGCAGCCCUAAGAAGGUGGUAAACUCCAUCUAAGGCUAAAUACUACCACGAGUCCGAUAGAGAACAAGUACCGUGAGGGAAAGCUGAAAAGGACUUUGAAGAGAGAGUUCAAGAGGACGUGAAACCGUUAGAAGCUUAAACGGGUGGAAGCGCGAAGGUGGAGUGAGGGGAUUCAGGUCGUGGGCGUGCGGGGAGCCCGUGCCGCAGCAGAGAUGUUUUGAUGAGAUGACCCGGCAUAAAUUGGGAUUGCCUGGGCAGCGGCCGGGCCCCCGCAUUGCCGGCGGGCUUACUUCUCCCUCGGUUUGGUCGCCGCGACCCGUCUCGGGGACCCCCAGGGCCGUGCGCGAUUGGUAGCCCGGGCCGAAAGGCCCGGGUGAUGAGCGGACGGUGCCGUCGGGCCGCCGGGGCGGCGGUGAGAAGGAGGCCGCGUGGAGCGGCCUCUCGCGGCGUGGAAGGGAUCGGACAUCCACCCGACCCGUCUU
rnacentral:rRNA from 1 species